AAGUCCCGUAACGAGCGCAACCCCUAUCACUAGUUGCCAUCAGGUAACGCUGGGAACUCUAGUGAAACUGCCGUCGUAAGACGCGAGGAAGGAGGGGAUGAUGUCAAGUCAUCAUGGCCUUUAUGCCCAGGGCUACACACGUGCUACAAUGGGAAGGACAAAGGGCUGCUACCUGGUAACAGGAUGCUAAUCUCAAAAACCUUCUCUCAGUUCGGAUUGAGGUCUGCAACUCGACCUCAUGAAGCUGGAAUCGCUAGUAAUCGUAGAUCAGCAAUGCUACGGUGAAUACGUUCCCGGACCUUGUACACACCGCCCGU
rnacentral:rRNA from 1 species